GAUGAAGAACGCAGCGAAAUGCGAUAAGUAAUGUGAAUUGCAGAAUUCAGUGAAUCAUCGAAUCUUUGAACGCACAUUGCGCCCGCCAGUAUUCUGGCGGGCAUGCCUGUCCGAGCGUCAUUUCAACCCUCGAACCCCUCCGGGGGGUCGGCGUUGGGGAUCGGGAACCCCUAAGACGGGAUCCCGGCCCCGAAAUACAGUGGCGGUCUCGCCGCAGCCUCUCCUGCGCAGUAGUUUGCACAACUCGCACCGGGAGCGCGGCGCGUCCACGUCCGUAAAACACCCAACUUCUGAAAUGUUGACCUCGGAUCAGGUAGGAAUACCCGCUGAACUUAAGCAUAUCAAUAACGGAGGA
rnacentral:misc_RNA from 1 species